rnacentral:misc_RNA from 1 species
UAAUUGAGACCCUUCAUAAAACAUGUUCACAGAUGUCUUCAUUCGAACAGCAGUGUGUUAUACUUGUGGACUUCUAUGUAUCUCUUUUCUUCGUCGAGAUAUCCAAGAUACAACCAGAGGAUUUCUGCAGAAAGGUCAAUCUUUGUGAGAACACGGUAUUCCUUUCUCUUCCAAAGAAGGAAGAUAAAUGCACACUCUGUCACCGUGUUGUGGAUGUAGUUCUAACUAAA